rnacentral:rRNA from 1 species
GAUGAACGCUGGCGGCGUGCCUAACACAUGCAAGUCGAGCGAACAGGCGCUGCUCUUGUGCCUUGCACGAUAGGCGAACGCGUGAGUAACACGCGUGUAACCCCUCCUUGACUGAGGGAGAACACCACGGAACACCGGCUCUUAUCGCGUAGGAGCUCCUGCUGCACGGGGGGGGUUGGUAAGAUUCGGCGGUUGGGGCUGGUCUCGCGGCUUAUCAGCUUGUUGGUGGGGUAGGGGCUUCCCAAGGCUUUGAGGGGUAGCCGGCCUGAGAGGGUGACCGGCCACAUUGGGACUGCGAUACGGCCCAGACUCCUACGGGAGGCAGCAGUGGGGAAUAUUGCACAAUGGGCGGAAGCCUGAUGCAGCAACGCCGCGUGCGGGAUGACGGCCUUCGGGUUGUAAACCGCUUUCGCCUGUGACGAAGCGUGAGUGACGGUAAUGGGUAAAGAAGCACCGGCUAACUACGUG